AGUGGAUCCUGGCACUGGCGGGCCUUCGUCUAAAAAAUGGUUUUGCUGCAUUCAUCAACCACAGGCAGAGUCUUGACAAUGUUGUUCUCCUAAGUGCUCCAAUGGAGGAGCACGGUGUUCUGUAACUGGCUCCACCAUAUAUUUCCAAAGAAGAUAGGGAGCUGUAUAGCAAUGAUGGAUGGAAUUUACCGUGUGGCGUAUAAAACCAAAACAAAAAAACUUGGUGAUGGGAGAAGUAAGAACGACAACUACUUAUUGUAUCUAUAUUUCCCGUUCGAUGUGAUGAUCGGUAUUAGAAUAUACCGAUCUGUUUCUUCGUCUUAUCUUUGCUUCAAGCUUUAGAGCUUUGCUUAUGACAUUCUUUCCUUCUUCCCGAAUUGUAUUAUCAAACCACUCUAGUUUGUGAAAUUAUUUUGUUUCCGAUUUCAAAUUCCGAAAAACUUUCUUCUUUUCCAUGUGUAUCUAGUUUCGGUAAAUAAAGUCUACAUUUCAAUAAAAAGAAGACGAAGGGAAAUGAUUUCUUGCUA